UAAGGAAUAUUGCGCAAUGGGCGAAAGCCUGACGCAGCGACGCCGUGUGGGGGAUGAAGGUCUUCGGAUUGUAAACCCCUUUCGGGAGGGACGAUGGGAUGGGUAACCAUUCGGACGGUACCUCCAGAAGCAGCCACGGCUAACUUCGUGCCAGCAGCCGCGGUAAUACGAAGGUGGCAAGCGUUGUUCGGAUUUACUGGGCGUACAGGGAGCGUAGGCGGUUGGGUAAGCCCUCCGUGAAAUCUCCGGGCCUAACCCGGAAAGUGCGGAGGGGACUGCUCGGCUAGAGGAUGGGAGAGGAGCGCGGAAUUCCCGGUGUAGCGGUGAAAUGCGUAGAGAUCGGGAGGAAGGCCGGUGGCGAAGGCGGCGCUCUGGAACAUAUCUGACGCUGAGGCUCGAAAGCGUGGGGAGCAAACAGGAUUAGAUACCCUCGUAGUCCCUGAGCGGGCUGGCAAGGCGCAU
rnacentral:rRNA from 1 species